ACGCGCCGCCGCCUCCUGCCCGCCCCGCCUCACGGCGCGCCGCCGGCCACCCCCUCCGCCGAGCGCCGCCACCGCCUACCCGCCUCCCAUCUUGAUCCCCGAGCGCCCGACCCGGCCAUCGUUCGUCGCCAGCACCUACGGAUCUGGCUGACCCUCGCCUUCCCCGUCUACUGCACCUCCCAGCGCCGCCACCCCACCCCUGCCAUGCUCUGCCUCCUGGAUCCACAUCCCCACGACCAGAACGGGUCCUCCUCGAGGAGCCGCGCAUCCUCUGCCUGCUCCAACGCUGCACACAUCCUCUGCUUGGUUGACUCCCACCGCCUAUGAUCGUCCCUGCCGUCUGAUCAGGGUAAUGGAUUUGAAGGUUGAUAUAUCUUGAGUUGUCCCAUUAUCAUACUUAAUUCAGGAUUCAACUCAGGAGAGUGUACAGAACAUGCAGGUUUGUAUUGUUUCCAGUGUAUGUUGGUCAUGCAUCGGAUGUCACUCGGUUUCUAGGAAUUUCAAGAUGGCAUGUA
rnacentral:lncRNA from 1 species